CUUCAGCGAGCCCAGCCAGAGGGGCCGAUCCGGAGCCCGUUCCUGACCGUACGUGGCAAGCAGCGCCUCGGCCUC
rnacentral:antisense_RNA from 1 species